AUGGCACCUGGACAGAAGAUGGACAGCAUGGUGGCCGAGAUCGCAAUUAUUGCAUUGAGUGAAGCAGGGCUGAGGCCAAAGAAGAGAUUAAUGCCACUACGAGUAGCUGUAUCAUUUCCGACACUCGAGAUUCUGGACAAGGAGAAUCCAAAGGAAAUAGGGCAUUAUUGGCUAAUGGUGUUGAACAUCAGGGACAAGCGCUUCGAGGUACUGGACUCGGCAAGGACGUUCAAGGACAAGGCAUUAGUAGAAAACACAAACAAAAUCAUGAAGGGCAUCAAAAUAAACUGGGAGAGGCAUUACAGCAACUCAAGCGUGCAGAUUGCAGAUUGGGAACUUCACGAAAUCAAGUGCCCAAAGCAGGAUAACAGGCAAGGGCACCCCUAUCCCAUAUUUUACUUUCUUUUUUCCGCAUUUUUUUUCUUUUUCGUUUAUCAUUUUUUUCUUGUCCGAGCCUAA
rnacentral:rRNA from 1 species